GGCUCUGUAGCUCAGGGUUUAGAGCGCUGCUCUCAUGAGGCAGAGGUCGGGAGUUAAAUUCUCCCCAGAGCCA
rnacentral:tRNA from 1 species